rnacentral:lncRNA from 1 species
AUGAGCACACGUGUCCCCUGGACCGGCGGGUGUCAGCGAGGCCGGCUCCUUGCUGCCCACAAGGGCCGCUGUGUCAUUCUGCAGGGGAUCAGGCUGGGCCUGUCACUGGCCAGCAACUACGAAGCAGCUUUCCCACCUCCCCCGGCCCACAGACGCGGCGCCCAAGGCUCUGCCAGCCAGGAGCGAGCCUGCCUCCCACUCAGCAAGCCCAGGCCGCCGGCCCGGGGGGACAAUGCAUCCUCUCAGUGUGCUUUCAAUGGAAUGACCCAACACCACGCUGACGAUCACUGGCCACAAGCACGGGAUGAAGAGAGACGCAAAUGGCACGACUCGGGACGAGCCAGCCAUUCCUGCGCACUCAAAGACCCCUCUGUGCGCAUCUUUCGUGAACCGGUCUCUGUCAGUGGCUUCACCAACUGCCCAGAGACUGACAGACAGCGCAGUGCAGAGGAGCCGAGCUACUGCAAGGGGCUGGCCAUGUACGCGCCCAGGCAUUCGCAGGGCGGCCACCUCCUCUCAGGCUGUGAGGAUAGCAGGGCUGUGGAGGGAUGGGGCCUGGGAGGGCGGCACGGCACCGUCCAGAGCCCCGUGGGCUCCUGGUGCUGUGACAGACGGAAACUGGCCAAAUGUUGCCAGAGGGCCUCUUGGCUGAGCGUGCACAUGCAAGGUGCCACUGCCCAUUUGCACAGCCACUGUAGGCUGGGGAUCUGCUGCCCUCUCACCCCUGGACUUCGCUCUCUUCUCCCACUGGAGGGCGAGGAGGGAACUGGAAAGAAGUCAGUGUGCAGGGGUGGGCCUCGGCGGGGCCCUCACCCCACUGUGGGCACGACAGCAGGGGCUCCCCAGAGACCCUGCCCCAGGAGCCAUGUCUGGUCCAGGCAACCUGGAGCCCCUGCAGGGAGUCGCUGGCAGAGCACCAAGGGGCUGCACCCAGCUGGUCAGGUCCAGAACCUGCGGUCAGCCUGCUGCCUGCCCCACCUCACUGCUACCCCACACUGGAAUACUUGA